AGUGAACGCUGGCGGUAGGCCUAACACAUGCAAGUCGAACGGCAGCACAGUAAGAGCUUGCUCUUACGGGUGGCGAGUGGCGGACGGGUCAGGAAUACAUCGGAAUCUACUUUUUCGUGGGGGAUAACGUAGGGAAACUUACGCUAAUACCGCAUACGACCUACGGGUGAAAGCAUGGGAUCUUCGGACCUUGCGCGAUUGAAUGAGCCGAUGUCGGAUUAGCUAGUUGGCGGGGUAAAGGCCCACCAAGGCGACGAUCCGUAGCUGGUCUGAGAGGAUGAACAGCCACACGGGAACUGAGACACGGUCCAGACUCCUAAGGGAGGCAGCAGUGGGGAAUAUUGGACAAUGGGCGAAAGCCUGAUCAAGCCAUUCCGCGGGGGUGAAGAAGGGCUUCGGAUUGUAAAACCCUUUUAGUGGGGAAGAAGAGCAGUAAGUUAAACCCUGGCUGUUUUGACGGUACCAAAAAAAAAAGCACCGGCUAACUUCGUG
rnacentral:rRNA from 1 species